rnacentral:tRNA from 1 species
UCAUAGGUAGCUCAGUGGUAAAGAAUCUGCUUGCCAAGCAGGAGACCUGGGUUCAAUCCCUGGGUUGGGAA